GAUGAACGCUGGCGGCGUGCCUAAUACAUGCAAGUCGAGCGAACGGACGAGAAGCUUGCUUCUCUGAUGUUAGCGGCGGACGGGUGAGUAACACGUGGAUAACCCACCUAUAAGACUGGGAUAACUUCGGGAAACCGGAGCUAAUACCGGAUAAUAUUUUGAACCGCAUGGUUCAAAAGUGAAAGACGGUCUUGCUGUCACUUAUAGAUGGAUCCGCGCUGCAUUAGCUAGUUGGUAAGGUAACGGCUUACCAAGGCAACGAUGCAUAGCCGACCUGAGAGGGUGAUCGGCCACACUGGAACUGAGACACGGUCCAGACUCCUACGGGAGGCAGCAGUAGGGAAGCUUCCGCAAUGGGCGAAAGCCUGACGGAGCAACGCCGCGUGAGUGAUGAAGGGCUGCGGAUCGUAAAACUCUGUUAUUAGGGAAGAACAUAUGUGUAAGUAACUGUGCACAUCUUGACGGUACCUAAUCAGAAAGCCACGGCUAACUACGU
rnacentral:rRNA from 1 species